rnacentral:rRNA from 1 species
UACGUAGGGCGCAAGCGUUGUCCGGAAUUAUUGGGCGUAAAGAGCUCGUAGGCGGCUUGUCGCGUCGGUUGUGAAAGCCCGGGGCUUAACCCCGGGUCUGCAGUCGAUACGGGCAGGCGUAGAGUUCGGUAGGGGAGAGUCGGAAUUCCUGGUGUAGCGGUGGAAAUGACGCAGAUAUCAGGAGGAACACCGGUGGCGAAGGCGGAUCUCUGGGCCGAUACUGACGCUGAGGAGCGAAAGCGUGGGGAGCGAACAGG